AUUGAACGCUGGCGGCAUGCCUUACACAUGCAAGUCGAACGGCAGCACGGGAGCAAUCCUGGUGGCGAGUGGCGAACGGGUGAGUAAAGUAUCGGAACGUGCCCAGUCGUGGGGGAUAACGUAGCGAAAGUUACGCUAAUACCGCAUACGAUCUAUGGAUGAAAGCGGGGGAUCGCAAGACCUCGCGCGAUUGGAGCGGCCGAUAUCAGAUUAGGUAGUUGGUGGGGUAAAGGCUCACCAAGCCGACGAUCUGUAGCUGGUCUGAGAGGACGACCAGCCACACUGGGAGUGAGACACGGCCCAGACUCCUACGGGAGGCAGCAGUGGGGAAUUUUGGACAAUGGGCGCAAGCCUGAUCCAGCCAUGCCGCGUGCAGAAUGAAGGCCUUCGGGUUGUAAACUGCUUUUGUACGGAACGAAAAGGUUUGGCCUAAUACGCUGAACUCAUGACGGUACCGUAAGAAUAAGCACCGGCUAACUACGUGCCAGCCGCCGCAGUAAUAC
rnacentral:rRNA from 1 species